ensembl:lncRNA
GUCAGUUGUGACUAGAUGGGAGUAGCCUGGCGCUUCCUCUUCUGGUACGUAGGCUGUACUGUCAGCUGGCGCAGAUGCAAGUUGCCUUCAAUGAAGACUUUGCUGGUCACAUGGUCUGUGAGCGUUAGGUAAUUGUUACUCCGCGGUGUUUCCUCAAUGACACUCUAUUUCGUAUAUGGAGCCCUGGCCAAAAGUAGUGCACUAUAUAGGGAAUAGGGCUCUGGCUAAAAGUAGUGCACUAUAUAGGGAAUAGGGCUCUGGCUAAAAGUAGUGCACUACAUAGGGAAUAGGGCCCUGGCCAAAAGUAGUGCACUAUAUAGGGAAUAGGGCUCUGGUCUAAAGUAGUGCACUAUAUAGGGAACAUAUGGAGCCCUGGCCAAAAUAGUGCACUAUAUAGGGAAUAGGGCUCUGGUCUAAAGUAGUGCACUAUAUAGGGAAUAGGGCUCUGGUCUAAAGUAGUGCACUAUAUAGGGAAUAGGGCUCUCUGGUCUAAAGUAGUGCACUAUAUAGGGAAUAGGACUUUGGUCUAAAGUAGU